UGUGUGUGUGUGUGUGUGUGUGUGUGUGUGUGUGUGUGUGUGUGUGUGUGUGUGUGUGUGUGUGUGUGUGUGUGUGUGUGUGUGUGUGUGUGUGUGUGUGUGUGCUCACCCGAGUAUAGAGGGGUCCAGCUGGGGCAGGUGACACUUUUGGUGGAAGGAGCGUGGACAGUGGUCACACAUCACCAGGUCACCCAGUCUCCCACACACAAAGCAAUAAUCAUCGUUCUUCUGUUCCUCCUGCACACACACACAGUGACAGAUGAACUCACCAGGACUUUAGGGUCUGGAUGGCACAGUGGACAGUCACACUGCUCAGAGUGGGGCGUUAAGCAUUGCUGAACCCUGCGCCACGAACUCCACUGGACUCAUCCAACGGUCCUCCGUCCGAAUACUUUUCCCACACCUCCCUGGAGAAAGAGGACCUUCAGCCAUCCGACUACGCCUGACCAGACCAUAACUCCCCUCACUUUCCUACAGCGUUCAUAAUGCCACGCAACAUUUAACAAAUGCUGUUGUUCAUGCCAUGAUCAUAAUCAAUGUGUAUGCAUUUGCCAUGUCUUUUUUAAAUAAGUUCAUCGAAGUUCAUUAAAUUAGCUAUAUUUUGGUCCAGGAAGACAAUUGGCAGUCAGGAAUAGGUAGACAGACAGACCCUUAUACCUGAGGCAAAGCGGCUCCUGUGCAGCAUCCCACUCAGAGCUCCACAUAUCACUCUGAACUCAUUCUGGCCGACCCUGGGCCUCUCGUCUGUCACUUCGUCCAGAUUAUCUCCUUGGUCUGGAUAUAUAUAUAUAUACACAUACAACAUUUGAAUGAAUAAUUAAGUCUACAAUGCUAAUAAUUCCAUUGCUCAAAAUGGAAGUUAAAUUUAAGACCUGUUGAAGACUUAUUGAUGCAAUUUAAGACUUAUUUAACCUACAUACUGGCAAAAAAGUAUAAAGGAUAUGAAGGAAAAUCAAAGUACCAUAAUUACUUGCAAAGUAAAUAAUUGCAUUUGCAUUCAAAAUAACAAGACUACACAGAACUGUGUGUACGUAAGAGAUGUAAGAGUAUAAUAUGCAAUGCUACAUUCAACAAAAACAUAGAUCCCAGACAUAAAAUGUCUGCAGCUGGUGGUUAAUCUAACUGAUUAGCCACAUACAGUGAGUCACAUAAUAUAUCAGAGCGUGAUUCAUAUAAUCGCGUGUUAUAGGUGCCUAUAAUGUAGUACUCUCUAAGACAUAUCUGUUUACAAUUAGGAGAUAGGACAGAUACAAACCAAAGUUAGGUUUGUGGAAUUUCGCUGAAUAUGCUGACGUGGGCUAUGCCUCAUUUAGGUAAAAAUGUUUUGUCUGCCACAUACAACCGUUUGUGAACCAUUACAGAGUUACAGGGUCAUCGUUAAUGCAGUGCGUAUGGAGCCAGUUUCCUGCCAUAAUUCAAACCUGAAAAAAAAAGUUUCAAAGGCUUGUAAGUCUGGGUUUGAAAACUCAACGCCUUGUAAAAAAGGUUUUGCAACACUGAAAAAAGAGAUUAUAACCUGAAAAAAAUGCAAACAUCUGUAAACAUGAUUUUGUGUUCUAUUUUAUCUUCUUCAUCAUUUUCACCAACACAUUUUCAAAGUUCAAACAAUUUCCCCAGCGCAUUUGCAGAGUUUCAAAUCUGGCACUGUUCUAACAGUGUAUUUCAUUGUUCCCGCUUUUGAAACCUUGUAAAUGGGAUUCUGCAAACA